UACGAAGGGGGCUAGCGUUGCUCGGAAUUACUGGGCGUAAAGCGCACGUAGGCGGCUUUUUAAGUCGGAGGUGAAAUCCUGGAGCUCAACUCCAGAACUGCCUUCGAUACUGAAGAGCUCGAGUCCGGGAGAGGUGAGUGGAACUGCGAGUGUAGAGGUGAAAUUCGUAGAUAUUCGCAAGAACACCAGUGGCGAAGGCGGCUCACUGGCCCGGUACUGACGCUGAGGUGCGAAAGCGUGGGGAGCAAACAGGG
rnacentral:rRNA from 1 species